UGUUAUAGGGACCAUCUGGUAGUGUGGGACCUAGAGUCUGGGUAUAUCAAAGGGAGGAUCAAAGUGUCCAGCAGCAUCGUCAGAGACAGGCAUUCCCGGAUACCACCAUCAUUAAGGAGACCACAGGUAACCACAGUUCAGGUGAUGCCCUGGGAAGGAAUGACAGAGAGACACUCUGCUAAGAAGAGGAGGACGAAAAGGGAGGCGCAAAGGGAGCAGAGUAGGUUGGACAGGGAGACAUACUACUCCAUAGACCAAUACCUCCUCGGUGGGGACCAACAGCGUGAAGUCCCAGGAACACCUCCAUAUCCUGGUGGCCAGAACGUCCUUGCUGACCCGCCACAUCAUCGCCCUCACUCGCCCUGGGGGACAUCUGGUCCUGGCCAACUACAGCCAGGCUCAACAUACACCCUACCUCACCCUCUGGGACCUGCAGA